rnacentral:rRNA from 1 species
UACGUAGGGGGCGAGCGUUGUCCGGAAUCAUUGGGCGUAAAGCGCGUGUAGGCGGCCCGGUAAGUCCGCUGUGAAAGUCCAGGGCUCAACCCUGGGAUGCCGGUGGAUACUGUCGGGCUCGAGUCCGGAAGAGGCGAGUGGAAUUCCUGGUGUAGCGGUGAAAUGCGUAGAUAUCGGGAGGAACACCUGCGGCGAAGGCGGGUUGCUGGGCUGACACUGACGCUGAUGCGCGAAAGCCAGGGGGGCGAACGGG